rnacentral:rRNA from 1 species
GCAUGUCUAAGUAUAAGCAAUUAUACAGCGAAACUGCGAAUGGCUCAUUAUAUAAGUUAUCGUUUAUUUGAUAGUACCUUACUACUUGGAUAACCGUGGUAAUUCUAGAGCUAAUACAUGCUAAAAAUCCCGACUUCGGAAGGGAUGUAUUUAUUAGAUUAAAAACCAAUGCCCUCUGGGCUCCUUGGUGAUUCAUGAUAACUCUUCGAAUCGCACGGCCUUGCGCCGGCGAUGGUUCAUUCAAAUUUCUUCCCUAUCAACUUUCGAUGUUUGGGUAUUGGCCAAACAUGGUUGCAACGGGUAACGGAGGGUUAGGGCUCGACCCCGGAGAAGGAGCCUGAGAAACGGCUACUACAUCCAAGGAAGGCAGCAGGCGCGCAAAUUACCCAAUCCCGAUUCGGGGAGGUAGUGACAAUAAAUACUGAUACAGGGCUCUUUUGGGUCUUGUAAUUGGAAUGAGUACAAUUUAAAUCCCUUAACGAGGAACAAUUGGAGGGCAAGUCUGGUGCCAGCAGCCGCGGUAAUUCCAGCUCCAAUAGCGUAUAUUAAAGUUGUUGUGGUUAAAAAGCUCGUAGUUGAACCUUGGGCCUGGCUGGCCGGUCCGCCUCACCGCGUGCACUGGUCCGGCCGGGCCUUUCCCUCUGUGGAACCCCAUGCCCUUCACUGGGCGUGGCGGGGAAACAGGACGUUUACUUUGAAAAAAUUAGAGUGCUCCAGGCAGGCCUAUGCUCGAAUACAUUAGCAUGGAAUAAUGAAAUAGGACGCGUGGUUCUAUUUUGUUGGUUUCUAGGACCGCCGUAAUGAUUAAUAGGGACAGUCGGGGGCAUCAGUAUUCAAUUGUCAGAGGUGAAAUUCUUGGAUUUAUUGAAGACUAACUACUGCGAAAGCAUUUGCCAAGGAUGUUUUCAUUAAUCAGGAACGAAAGUUAGGGGAUCGAAGACGAUCAGAUACCGUCGUAGUCUUAACCAUAAACUAUGCCGACUAGGGAUCGGACGAUGUUAUUUUUUGACGCGUUCGGCACCUUACGAGAAAUCAAAGUGCUUGGGCUCCAGGGGGAGUAUGGUCGCAAGGCUGAAACUUAA